GACGAACGCUGGCGGCGUGCCUAAUACAUGCAAGUCGAGCGAAGAGGCUUGGUGCUUGCACCGAUUUGGAGAGCAGCGAACGGGUGAGUAACGCGAGGAGAAUCUGCCUUUGAGCGGGGGACAACAAUUGGAAACGAAUGAUAAUACCGCAUAACAACUUGAAACAUAAGGGUUAAGUUUGAAAGAUGCAAUUGCGUCACGCACAGGUGAUCCCGCGUUGUAUUAGUUAGUUGGUGAGGUAAAGGGUCACCAAGGCGAUGAUUCGUAGCCGACCUGAGAGGGGGAUCGGCCACAUGGGGACGGAGACACGGCCAUAGCUCCUACGGGACGCAGCAGUAGGGAAUCGGCGGCAAUGGACGAAAGUCUGACCGAGCAACGGCGCGUGAGUUAAGGAGGCUUUGGGUUCGUAAAACUCUGUUGGUAGAGAAGAACGGUUGUGGGAGUGGAAGGAGCAUCAAGUGACGGUAACGACACAGAAAGGCACGCUUAAUUACUU
rnacentral:rRNA from 1 species